UAAUCACCCUAUUUUUUUUUCUUUCCAUCUAUUUCCCUUAACAAACCAUGCACAGGGAGAAAGAUUUGAAGUGAGUUCUCACCAUUUUUCAUCCUCCAAAUCUCAAAGAAGGCAAGGGUCUUGAUCUAGCUUUUUUUAAGUUCCAUGAAAAAAAUAUAUCUAUGUUCAUCAAUGAUGAAGGUGGAGGUUUUUGGGUGUUUGGGAAGGUUUGAGUUUGAAAAAGUCUCUACCCAUCUUCUCAUAUAUUAUUUAUUUAUUUAUUUAAAGCAUGUAUUUUUCAUCCUAUCAACUCUUAUUUUUUUGUGGGAAAUCUUGUGUGUUACAUGGUUAUAGUUAAAGACGGUGGUGAAUCUUCUAAAGCUAAGGGUAAAGGCAAAGUGGUAGAGAGCUAGGCAAGAAACUUUGUUGGUGUUCUUCCAUCAAGGUGGUACCCUCUAACUCUCUUAUGCUUCUUGAUAAGUCAUAAAUAUAAUGCUUUUUGAUAAUGUAUGCAUGUUAUAUGUCUUUGGGUGGAAAUCAUGUUUGGAUGAUUUAAAAUGAAGUUAAAAACUUAGUUGUGAAAUCUGUUAGAAACAAAUUAUUAUAUGAACAGUAUGUUUAAAAAUGUGACAUAAAUUCUGUAAAAAUAAUUAAGAAGUGAUCUAUACAUUAUUGUAACCGUGAGUCAGUCUAGUUUAGUUUAGAAUAAAUAGAGAUCAAUUUUGAUUUGAAUUUUAAAAUAUAUGAAUUUUUGAGUGUUGAAAGGUCAUAAAAUUCUGGCAGUAAAUUUUUUAUAAAACAUAUUUAGCAGUGACUUUGAAAAAUCACCAAAAAUUUCAUAAGAUAAAAUAGGAAGUAAGCCUAUAACCGUACAAAAUUCUAGUUUCGUCUAAAACAAACGGUGCUCGAUUUAGAUUUAUAUAUUAAGAGUUAUUAAUUUUUGAAUGAGAAAAGGUCAGAAUAUCAAGGUAGCAGAGUGUCACAUCUCAUUAGUUAAUAUUUUAGCUGGAAUGAUAAGCAAGUUGAAACGAGUAUGAGACUCAAAUGUCAUGGUUGUAUUUUUGUGAUUAUAUGUUUGAUGCUUUGUUUGUGCUUAGCCUUCGGGCUCUAACCUAAGUAGCGGCCAUGAGUGGCACUCGAGAUAACCCUAUGGACACCCGGGAUUAUUUGACUAGCGGCCAUGAGUGGCGCGAGACUAUCCGAAUACCCGAUUAUUUGAGUUGUAUGUGCAAUCUAACAAGUUUGACAAGUUUGAUAUGCAAGUGAUUUGGUUAUAUAGAUUUAAUGACUUAUGAUUUAAUUAUUCGAUACUCAUGUCAUGUUUCUAUGUAUACAUUUGAUUUGCAUGCUUAUAUUUAUGAAUUGCUUGAAGUAUGGUAGAUUUGUUGUGUACCACUGAGCCUAUAAAGCUCAACCUUCAAAUUGCCUUAAUGUUCAAAUUUGUAGACUUUUGUUCGUGUCCGAGGAACAUCAUCGAUGAAAGACUCCUAGCAUCACGUAUUCAGAGUACAGUACCUUAUGCAUUAGUGGGCAUUGUAUUCAUAAGGCCUUGUAUUCUUUUUGUAGGUCUGUAACUCAUUUAUCAUUUUUGUUAUUUUGACUAUUUUGAUAUACGAUAAUAUUAGAGCUCCACAUAUUUUGUAUAACUACUUUUAUUACUAUUUUCAGUAUAAC
rnacentral:lncRNA from 1 species